CCUACGGGAGGCAGCAGUGGGGAAUAUUGGGCAAUGGGCGCAAGCCUGACCCAGCAAAGUCGCGUGAAGGAAGACGGCUCUAGGGUUGGUAAAUUGCUUUUUUAGGGAAGUAACAAGUGACGGUUCCUGAGGAUUAAGCCAAGGCUAACUACGAGGAAGCAGUCGCGGGAAGACGUAGGCGGCGAGCGUUAUCCGGAUUUACUGGGUGUAAAGGGUGUGUAGGCGGGACUGGAAGUCAGAUGUGAAAACCACGGGCUCAACCUGUGUCCUGCAGUGGAAACUGUAGUUCUUGAGUACGGGCGAGGCAGGCGGAAUUCGUGGUGUAGCGGUGAAAUGCUUAGAUAUUACGAGGAACGCCGGUUGCGAAGGCAGCUUACUGGAGCGUAACUGACGCUGAUGCUCGAAAGCGUGGGGAGCGAACAGGAUUAGAUACCCUAGUAGUC
rnacentral:rRNA from 1 species